rnacentral:rRNA from 1 species
GUCCAGACUCCUACGGGAGGCAGCAGUGGGGGAUAUUGCACAAUGGGGGGAACCCUGAUGCAGCGACGCCGCGUGGGUGAAGGAGUGCUUCGGCAUGUAAAGCUCUAUCAGCAGGGAAGAAAAAAGGACGGUACCUGAGUAAGAAGCCCCGGCUAACUACGUGCCAGCAGCCGCGGUAAUACGUAGGGGGCAAGCGUUAUCCGGAAUUACUGGGUGUAAAGGGAGCGUAGACGGCAAUGCAAGUCCGGAGUGGAAUGCGGCAGCUCAACUGCCGAACUGCUCUGGAAACUGUAUGGCUUGAGUGCAGGAGGGGUAAGCGGAAUUCCUGGUGUAGCGGUGAAAUGCGUAGAUAUCAGGAGGAACACCGGCGGCGAAGGCGGCCUGCUGGACCGCGACUGACGUUGAGGCUCGAAAGCGUGGGGAGCGAACAGGAUUAGAUACCCCAGUAC